UUUUGAAAAGCGAAGCUACUCGAAAAGCACGUUAAACUGCUCUUCAUAUACUCUUCGGGCAAACGCGUCUCUUUUUGUGCGUCCCCUUUGCUAACAUUGUAUUUAUAUUUAAAAAUAUUGUAGGCAAUUGUAACUGUAUAAAAAAAACAUGCAAGGAACUAUCAUAGAAAACUUAAGCGGUAGAAAACUUUCGGUACUCGUCGUACUGUUGAUCAUCGCACAAAUUGUUUGUUUUUUAAUAGGUGGACUUAUUGCUCCAACUCCUGCUAGUAGCCAAACUAUACUUGGUACCCUUUGCAAGGAUAGCCGUGUAAAUAAAUCUGAACCUGGAGGAAAUAAAUGGUAUUAUUCAAGAGGAAGAGGAGCUUGUAAUCCUGUUGAUAUGAACGUUAGCUUUGAUGGUCAUCAUCAAGCCUACCAAGUUGUUUAUACAUUUCAGACGCCUCUGUCUCGAAAUAACAUGCAACUUGAUUAUUCUAGAUGGCAACAAAAUCUGAUUGGUGUUUUACAAGUGGACAUUGUUUAUCAUAGUCAGAUAGAAAUUGCUCCUAGAACCAAAAUAACAUUAGAUGCAAGACUUGCAUACAGAAACAAAGGUGAUCCGGAUGAUGCUUGGAAACCUUAUGCUGCAUCUGUGGUUGAAAGAAUUUUGGAUUGUAGUAUUGAUGAUGCAAUGGAGCAAUAUAAUUACAAUUGCAAGCUGGUCCCAUUGUUUGAACUUGGCUCUUUAUUUCAUGAUUAUUAUCUUUUAAAUAUCCGUCUUCCGGCUGAUACUGAUAAAAAUAUAAAUCAGGGUUUAGGACAUAUAAGUGAUUUAUGGUUUAUAGCUAUCAAUCAGAAUGGCGGAUUUACGAGGGUAUGGGUCAGUUUGAAAACCAUUUUCUUUCCCAUUGUUAUAUGCGUUCUUGCUUGGUAUUGGAGACGAGUUAAUAUGCUUUCAAGAUCUCCGGCUCUCUUGGAAUAUUUGCUUUUAGCUUUAGGCGCAGCUCUGACAUUUUUAAACACGCCUUUGGAGUACUUAACCCUCGUCUAUGAUAUGCCGUUUAUGCUUUUAUUGGGCGAUAUUAAACAGGGAGUUUUCUAUGCAAUGCUCUUGUCUUUUUGGCUCAUCUUUGCUGGAGAACAUCUUAUGAUACAGGAAGGCGAUCAAAGAAAUUCUUUAAAAUGUUACUGGCGUCAUUUAUCCGCGGUGGGCAUUGGGUGCCUCUCAUUAUUUGUAUUCGACAUGUGUGAACGCGGCGUGCAAUUAAGAAAUCCAUUCUACUCAAUUUGGGUUACGGAUCUUGGGACUAAAUUUGCUUUAUCGUUCAUAAUUUUAGCAGGUAUAUCCGCUGGUGUGUAUUUAAUAUUUUUAUCUUACAUGAUAUGGAAAGUGUUUAUGAAUAUCAGCGCAAAAAGGGCUGCGUUACCCAGUAUGAGUUCGGCACGACGUUUACACUACGAGGGUGUAAUAUACCGGUUUAAAUUUCUCAUGAUCGCUACACUGUUAUGCGCGUCCUUAACUGUUAUUGGAUUUAUGCUAGGCCAGGUCGCAGAAGGACAAUGGAAAUGGGAUGAUGAAUUGCAUUUGGAAAUGACAUCGGCAUUUUUCACUGGGGUAUAUGGAAUGUGGAAUAUUUAUAUUAUAGCAUUAUUGUGCCUAUAUGCACCAUCGCAUAAACAAUGGCCUAUCGAACCAUCCGAAAAUAGUAUUAGCGAAGAAAUCGAAUUUUCGCGUUUAUCUACCGAUCCAAAUGAGAUGUUGUCUUUGACAGCAUUUGCACGAAAAGCAGCGGUAGAGUAAAUAAUAUACAUAUUUUAUAAAAAAAAAGCAUGGCAAUCGACCAAUCAACAAUUUUGUACUUAAUCAUAGCAUGGUACAAUGCAACAACCAUGAAUUAAUGAAGGUUUUUCAAUAGUUAUAGAGAAUGCAAGGACUGAUAAUACUCUGAAAAGUAAUCUCUUAAUACCAAAAUUAAUUAUUUAUUAAAAAUGAUAUUUUUUAAGGCUUUUAUAAUACAACUUAGUAUCUAACAAUUUUUUAUGAUGGUACUUAAUUAGGUACUUAAUAUUUUCAAGAUUAAACGAAUGAAAAAGAGUCACUUUAGACAAUGUUUUUUCAUUACGUUCAUUCUCAUGUGUAAUUAAAAUAGGGUAACGUGUAGCUGGAGUAAUUUUAUAACACAUUCCAUUUAAAAUGCAAAUAUUCUACCUUCCGGAUAACAUUUUUUCUAUACGUCGCAAACAUUAAAUUAUCAUUGAUAAUUGAAAGGAAAUAUCAUUGCCAUGCUUACAUAGUAAUCAUCUUCAAUGAAUUAAUCUGGCGAUAUUUAUUUUCUUAAACGAUAUUUAAUCUAUUCCGUCUUUUUAUAAUACAUAUCAAUAUUGGGCAUUUAUCCAUAAUUAAUGUUCAUAAAUGUGCAUUUAAUUGUAGUUAAAUAAUAUUGAAUAUGUGCAUCCAACAAUUCUUCAUUCUUAUAUUUAACAGUAUUAAGUUCCUCAGAUACAUUUUUUAUAUUACAUAUAUUUAAUACAAAUGUUUACAAAUUCCAAUGCAUUAAUGCAGGUUUUUUAGAAGCUAAGGUAUGCAUGCAACAAAGUAGAAUCGAAGCAGAAAGGUGUAAUAAAUUUGUAACAUUUGCAUAGAAUCAAUUUAGUGCACAUUAGCUACUUAUAUAUAGUACUUACAUUUGCAGCAAUAAGAUUAGUAUUUUCUACUUGUGACGUAUCUAACGAAAUCUAUUAAUGAAUGGCAACUUCUAUACGAAUUUUGUAUUAUAUUAUUAGUUGUGAUAUCUUCUUAAUAACUUGUGGAUGUGAAAAAAAAAAAAAUAAAAUGUAAUGUAUUAGGGCUAUAAGAAAAAAAAACAACAACAAAUUCUUAUGCAUGUUUAUAUCAUUGAAUUUUGGUAUUAUAUGUAAUAGGAACAUUUUUUCAUGUAUUAAUCAAAAUUUUUAUACAUUUUUUAGGUAAACCAAUUUAUUAGAAUAAUUUUGUUAAAUUGUUAAAUAUGAUGUAACACUAUAUGUUAUAUAUAUGGUAAUUUUACAUAUGGAAACAUAGACUUGUAUGUGUCGUUGUAGUUAUGUCUUUUGUUUCAACGUUAUUAAACGUCCGGGUGAAACACGAACUAUUAUACGUCCGAUUUACCGAGUAAUUCCAUUUCUUUUAAACCGUUCGUGCAAUUUAUUCUUUUGCUGGAAUAAUUAUUGCGAGAUAAGACCAUUCUUUAUAACUCUACCAUUGAAGGUUUAUAUAAUUUCUCCUAUAAUAUGUGUGAAAGGGGUUAACUUUAAAUGUCAAGUUUAAUCAAAUUUAACAGAUACUGGAUUUCGCAUUGUUGUUUCUAAAAGUGAUAUUAGUGAAACGAAAGAAUUGCUGGUGAUUUGUGGAGGAUAGCAGGGAUUUUGUAUGGUGCGCGCGCAUCCAGUGGCAAGACGUAAGACAGAGGUAGCAGCAAGCAAGAGAGCAGUACAGAAGCGGAAUCAGAUGUGGUGAAGUCUGUGAGUUGACAGUGGGGUGCACGAGAACAGGCGUUUCAUAGUGGUGGAGGCGGAGGAGGUUUAGGGGAAAGAAUUGUUUUCUGUGUGCGCGAGAAACGUGUCGAACAGUAAAAGUCUCUGAACGGGAAUCAUUGGUUGGUGGUGGUGAAAUGAUCCUCUAGCCCGAGGAUUUUGGCUUGGUCCGCUCGGACAAAGAGGAAUACAAUUUGUAUAUCGCUACACAUCGACGGAUCCUACGCUCGUUCAUCCAUAGAAAACAUCAUCAAACGCUGACGUCGCAAAAUUCGUCUGGUGUCGUUUUCCUUCGUGGUGAGCGUCGAAGAUUCAACGACUGACUAGCGACCAUCACGCGCGCGUGUCUUUGUUUUUUUUGUUUCUCAAUAAACUUGC